GAUGAACGCUGGCGGCGUGCCUAAUACAUGCAAGUCGAGCGAACAGACGAGGAGCUUACUCCUCUGACGUUAGCGGCGGACGGGUGAGUAACACGUGGAUAACCUACCUAUAAGACUGGGAUAACUUCGGGAAACCGGAGCUAAUACCGGAUAACAUAUUGAACCGCAUGGUUCAAUAGUGAAAGACGGUUUUGCUGUCACUUAUAGAUGGAUCCGCGCCGCAUUAGCUAGUCGGUAAGGUAACGGCUUACCAAGGCAACGAUGCGUAGCCGACCUGAGAGGGUGAUCGGCCACACUGGAACUGAGACACGGUCCAGACUCCUACGGGAGGCAGCAGUAGGGAAUCUUCCGCAAUGGGCGAAAGCUUGACGGAGCAACGCCGCGUGAGUGAUGAAGGUCUUCGGAUCGUAAAACUCUGUUAUUAGGGAAGAACAAAUGUGUAAGUAACUAUGCACGUCUUGACGGUACCUAAUCAGAAAGCCACGGCUAACUACGUG
rnacentral:rRNA from 1 species